UACGUAGGGUGCAGGCGUUAAUCGGAAUUACUGGGCGUAAAGCGUGCGCAGGCGGUUUGCUAAGACAGGUGUGAAAUCCCCGGGCUUAACCUGGGAACUGCGCUUGUAACUGGCAAGCUGGAGUGUGGCAGAGGGGGGUGGAAUUCCACGUGUAGCAGUGAAAUGCGUAGAGAUGUGGAGGAACACCGAUGGCGAAGGCAGCCCCCUGGGCUAACACUGACGCUCAUGCAUGAAAGCGUGGGGAGCAAACAGG
rnacentral:rRNA from 1 species